CCGCACCCGCCUGACGACUGCUCGCUACGUUUUGUUAG
rnacentral:sRNA from 1 species